UGCAAGUCGUACGCGUUGGCCCAACUGAUUUGAAGUGCUUGCACGGAUCUGACGUUGGUUUACCAACGAGUGGCGGACGGGUGAGUAACACGUAGGUAACCUGCCCAGAAGCGGGGGACAACACUUGGAAACAGGUGCUAAUACCGCAUAACAAUUCAAAUCGCAUGAUUUGAAUUUGAAAGAUAGUUUCGGCUAUCACUUCUGGAUGGACCUGCGGCGCAUUAGCUUGUUGGUGGGGUAACGGCCUACCAAGGCAGUGAUGCGUAGCCGAGUUGAGAGACUGAUCGGCCACAAUGGGACUGAGACACGGCCCAUACUCCUACGGGGGGCAGCAGUAGGGAAUCUUCCACAAUGGGCGCAAGCCUGAUGGAGCAACACCGCGCGAGUGAAGAAGGUUUUCGGAUCGUAAAGCUCUGUUGUUGAAGAAGAACGUGCAUGAGAGUAACUGUUCAUGCAGUGACGGUAUUCAACCAGAAAGUCACGGCUAACUACGUGCCAGCAGCCGCGGUAAUACGUAGGUGGCAAGCGUUAUCCGGAUUUAUUGGGCGUAAAGAGAGUGCAGGCGGUUUCUUAAGUCUGAUGUGAAAGCCUUCGGCUCAACCGAAGAAGUGCAUCGGAAACUGGGAAACUUGAGUACAGAAGAGGGCAGUGGAACCCCAUGUGUAGCGGUGGAAUGCGUAGAUAUAUGGAAGAACACCAGUGGCGAAGGCGGCUGCCUGGUCUGUAACUGACGCUGAGACUCGAAAGCAUGGGUGGCGAACAGGAUUAGAUACCCUGGUAGUCCAUGCCGUAAACGAUGAGUGCUAGGUGUUGGAGGGUUUCCGCCCUUCAGUGCCGGAGCUAACGCAUUAAGCACUCCGCCUGGGGAGUACGACCGCAAGGUUGAAACUCAAAGGAAUUGACGGGGGCCCGCACAAGCGGUGGAGCAUGUGGUUUAAUUCGAAGCUACGCGAAGAACCUCACCAGGUCUUGACAUCUUGCGCCAACCCUAGAGAUAGGGCGUUUCCUUCGGGAACGCAAUGACAGGUGGUGCAUGGUCGUCGUCAGCUCGUGUCGUGAGAUGUUGGGUUAAGUCCCGCAACGAGCGCAACCCUUGUUACUAGUUGCCAGCAUUAAGUUGGGCACUCUAGUGAGACUGCCGGUGACAAACCGGAGGAAGGUGGGGACGACGUCAGAUCAUCAUGCCCCUUAUGACCUGGGCUACACACGUGCUACAAUGGACGGUACAACGAGCAGCGAACUCGCGGGGGCAAGCAAAUCUCUUAAAACCGUUCUCAGUUCGGAUUGCAGGCUGCAACUCGCCUGCAUGAAGUCGGAAUCGCUAGUAAUCGCGGAUCAGCAUGCCGCGGUGAAUACGUUCCCGGGCCUUGUACACACCGCCCGUCACACCAUGAGAGUUUGUAACACCCAAAGUCGGUGGGGUAACCUUUGGAG
rnacentral:rRNA from 1 species